rnacentral:rRNA from 1 species
UGCCGNGGNAAACCNNAGNCGAGCGAAUGGAUUAAGNGCUUGCUCUUAUGAAGUNAGCGGCGGACGGGUGAGUAACACGUGGGUAACCUGCCCAUAAGACUGGGAUAACUCCGGGAAACCGGGGCUAAUACCGGAUAACAUUUUGAACNGCAUGGUUCGAAAUUGAAAGGCGGUUUUUNCUGUCACUUAUGGAUGGACCCGCGUCGCAUUAGCUAGUUGGUGAGGUAACGGCUCACCAAGGCAACGAUGCGUAGCCGACCUGAGAGGGUGAUCGGCCACACUGGGACUGAGACACGGCCCAGACUCCUACGGGAGGCAGCAGUAGGGAAUCUUCCGCAAUGGACGAAAGUCUGACGGAGCAACGCCGCGUGAGUGAUGAAGGCUUUCGGGUCGUAAAACUCUGUUGUUAGGGAAGAACAAGUGCUAGUUGAAUAAGCUGGCACCUUGACGGUACCUAACCAGAAAGCCACGGCUAACUACGUGCCAGCAGCCGCGGUAAUACGUAGGUGGCAAGCCNUUAUCCNGAAUUAUUGGGCNUAAAGCGCCGCGC